UACGAAGGGGGCUAGCGUUGUUCGGAUUUACUGGGCGUAAAGCGCACGUAGGCGGAUUUCUAAGUCAGGGGUGAAAGCCUGAGGCUCAACCUCAGAACUGCCUUUGAUACUGGAAGUCUUGAGACCGGAAGAGGUAAGUGGAACUGCGAGUGUAGAGGUGAAAUUCGUAGAUAUUCGCAAGAACACCAGUGGCGAAGGCGGCUUACUGGUCCGGUUCUGACACUGAGGCACGAAAGCGUGGGGAGCAAACAGG
rnacentral:rRNA from 1 species